rnacentral:tRNA from 2 species
GCGGCUAUGGUAUAAAGGUUAUUACUGGAGUUUGUGGAACUCUCAAUUCGGGUUCAAUUCCCGGUAGCCGCCCCA